AACGCAUCUUGCGCUCCCUGGUAUUCCGGGGAGCACGCCUGUUCGAGUGUCGUGAAUACCUCAAGCAUUGCGCUUUUCACUAAGUGCUUUGUUUGGAUUUGGACUUUGCCGUGCUCUGAGGGUACGGCUAGUCUUAAAUGCAUUAGCUGAUCCAUGCUUGUGUUUGGUUCUACUCGGCGUGAUAAUUAUCUGACCGCUGAGGACAUUUGCUUAACUGUGAAUGGCCAGAUAUGCCUUGGAUUGCUUCUAAUCUGUCUCCGGACAACCUUUUCAACCUUUGACCUCGAAUCAGGUGGGACUACCCGCUGAACUUAA
rnacentral:misc_RNA from 1 species